rnacentral:rRNA from 1 species
GAUGAACGCUGGCGGCGUGCCUAAUACAUGCAAGUCGAGCGAACGGACGAGAAGCUUGCUUCUCUGAUGUUAGCGGCGGACGGGUGAGUAACACGUGUAUAACCUACCUAUAAGACUGGGAUCACUUCGGGAAACCGGAGCUAAUCCCGGAUGAUAUUUUGAACCGCAUGGUUCAAAAGUGAAUGUCGGUCUUGCUGUCACUUAUAGAUGGAUCUGCGCUGCAUUAGCUAGUUGGUAGGGUCACGGCUUACCACGGCAACGAGGCAUAGCCGACGUGAGAGGGUGAUCGGCCACAUGAGAGGGGAGACACGGACCAGACUCCUACGAGAGGCAGCAGUAGGGUAUGUGCCGCAAUAGGCGAGAGCCUGACAGAGCAACGCCGCGUGAGUGGUGAAGGUGUUCGGAGCGUAAAGAUCUGUUAUGAGGGAAGAACAGAUGUGGAAGUAACUGUGCACAGCUUGACGGUACCUGAUCAGAAAGCCACGGCUAACUACGUG